UAUCCGCUGGCUGAGUGUUACAUUCAUUUUGAUAUUAAAUGGUUGUCGUGAUGGAAGUGAGGCUACCCGGAACCCUCUGAUGCUUAAGAGCCAGCUUGGCCCUGGGAUGGGGGGAAAUGACCUACAGCUCACCCUCAUGGGUCCUUCAACUUUACAGUUCCAGAGAGCCAACCACUCAAUUGUAUUUUUCAGAAAUGAACGAACUGAAAGCCCUACAUUUUACCAGCGUGCUGGGAAUGUGACCGCUUUGGUUAACCCUCACUGCUCACCAACAGAAGUGAUCGCUUCUCUAUUUAGUGCCUCUUUUGUGGUGGAGCAUUUUUUCUCACCCCCGUCCUCAUGUAAUUGCCUGUCACAUACAUUCCCAGUUUAUAACCAUUCAGUCAUCCCGCUACUUCAGUUGCAUCUGAGUGACAACAUUAGCGUACAUGACAGGAGAUAUUUCACAUCUUUCGAGCUACUCUGGUGUUCCUCUGGUACUGGAAAACAGUCUGUUUAUCUUUAUAUUGUUUGAUGAUGUUAAAUGAUACAUUCCCUCUGAUUAGUACUACUGAAUAAUAAUGUUUCAUGAUAAAAACCGUUAAUACAAUGAUUUGUUUCCUCACGUUCUGGUGUCAGUGUUCAUCAUUUGGUUAUUCAGGUCUAUGAACAAUACAACAUACCUUUUUGGAAAACAAGGUGACCUGAUUUUGAGGAGGGGGUCAAGAAUUCCCUUGAAAGUUUUUUUUUUUUUUUUUGAGUUGUUCAUCAAGCCCAUGUAUCUUUCAAGAAGCUUACAGUAGAGUUAGGUAUUACACUGGAAUUUGAUUAAUUCACUUUUUGAACUGCCAGUUGUGUAACUCCCACUGUUGCUUACUCCAAGCCCCUGUGAUUAUAUGGACUUCUGUUUACUGGGUGUGGCAAUGUGAUAUUUAAUAGCACUAUGGUGACAAUUACAUAUACUUGAUAAUUUUCCUUUUUUUGAGAAGAGAGUCAACAACAAAAACAAUGUCAUUUAAACUGGCCAGAGAGUUUAAUGAACCACAAUAUAACCACAAGACGAAUGAAGAGAUGCAUCUUGUGAAUAGCGCAGUGGAUGUUACAGGCGUGCACUGGCUUCUCUUAAAUUUCCAGUUAUGAACCCAUUUUAUGCACCUAUUGAUAUGGUGCCACUUAACCAUCAGUUGACAUUUUCUUGAACUGUGAGAUAUAUUCUUUGUGUCAUUUUUCUGGCAUUAAAACGGUUGGUUUUAAUCAUGGG
ensembl:lncRNA